rfam:Xenopus laevis strain J chromosome 5S, whole genome shotgun sequence.
CCUUCGAUAGCUCAGCUGGUAGAGCGGAGGACUGUAGAGGGAACAUAGCAAUCCUUAGGUCGCUGGUUCAAUUCCGGCUCGAAGGA